GCUAUGGAGCUUGAAUAGCUCAUUGGAAUUGGUGUAUGUUUGUAAAAGUUGAUUGCUGAAACUGUUGGUGAAGAACAAAGGUUGACUGAAGCAUUGAGGUAAGGAUGCUGCAGGAGCCUCUGGUGGCAAGUGGCCAUACCUAGAUUAUGCAUGAAAUAUGGCACUUCUUUGAGUUUAUGCAUGCCUUUUGUAGUUGACAUGUAUAGGAUUUUAUUUUGAAAGCCCAUGAUCAUUUGUAUAUCUUGAUUCAUUGGAUGAACUUAGCCUAUGCUCAUGCCUUUGGUUACACCUUUUGUUGAU